rnacentral:lncRNA from 1 species
CCAAGAGAGAUUUUCUGAAAAGCUGGUGCAUCCAUUGAUAGAUAGAUAGACAGGCACAGCAACACAAAAAAGAGCAGCAGCAGCAGCUACAAUCAAUUAAUUACUUAAAAAAAUCAUUAAUAUAGUAAUAAAAUGCAGUUUCCGGAAGAAGAGAGGCACUGGUUAUAAAAAUUCACGGAGAUACUAUACUACUAAUCUUCUUAUCCUGUUUUACUAUUUGAAUUUUCU